UCCAAAGUUCUCUCUCAACCCCAUUACCCGUGCACAUUUAAAAUUCAUCAUCUUCUCCAUUAUGCUCAGCAGCUACCGCCAACCCUCCAAAUCUGGUGCUCUGGUUAACGUCUUUAGUGCCGGUAGCAGUGCUAUUGCCGGUGGUGGAACUUUUCUCCUUCCCUAGACCCGUAGCUUUGGUGACCUUCUUAUGACCAUCGGACCGCCACUCAGGGUAUCCAUCCGACAAGUCGGAAGCAUUGGUCCUUGAUAUGUUUUGUCAUACUACAGUGUUCGCACUUUAAGAGAGGUGGUAAGCUCUUGAACGUUGGAGAAACUAUGCAUGGAUAUACAUGAGAAUCUUUAGCCUCAAUCAAGAAGGUGUUUCUAUAUUUAUGGCAAGUCAAGUAAAAUUGAGUUUCAAAUGCUUGUGAGAAUCGACUGAAUUGUUGUAGAGAUAUAGAUAACUGGUCCGAGCUAGUCUAGCCUUGAGUUUGACUCGUUUCGAGCUCAAUACCUAAAUCUCAAGAUUGUUCUAUGUAAUUCUUCAAGUUCGAGUUCUGCUCAAACUCAAUUUACUUA